GGACCAGGGGUCCGUUUCACGUAGCAGGUUUAAUGGAAACGCAGAGUCUGUUAACCCUGAAAUCAGGGAAACUCUGAGUUUUCCGUUUCACAAAGGAGGGUCAGUUAAACCAGGGAGAGAGGGGUAACUCUAACCUGUUUCACAAAGAGAGGUAACUCAACCUCGCGGUCAGUUACCAUAGUAACAGACUCCGUGAACCUAACCUGCUCGGGACCAGGUUUAACUCAGUAAACCCAGAGUUUCAGGUGAGACAUCGGCAUUUUCUCAUUUUGAUCAUGUUUUACAUUGUCAAGUAAGUAUUAAGUGGCAGUUUGAUCCCUUACAAAAUGCUCUUUUCACACUCAAAAAUGAAUUUUACUCUCUUAUUAUGUUCCGUUAAAUGAUUAGGAAUAUUAUAC